UUGCUUCAAUCAUUCACGCCAUGGCCGCUGCUUCGAUAGCAUUCUCGUCUCCCCGCCUCUCCUCCGGCAAUGGCGUCGCGGAAUCGCUCGCCUCGUCGCGCUCCUCCCUUGCCGGCGCGCGCGUCAAGGUAAUCUCCUCUCCUCCGGCGGCAAUCUCCUGCUCGAAUUCGAUUUCCCCAAGCGCGCGCUACGAUCUCAACAAAUUCUCCUUCGAUCCGAUCAAGGAGUCGCUGGUGGCCCGGGAGAUGACUCGCCGCUACAUGACCGACAUGAUCACAUACGCCGACACGGACGUGGUGAUCGUUGGCGCCGGAUCCGCGGGCCUCUCCUGCGCCUACGAGCUGAGCAAGAACCCUAACGUGAGCGUGGCGGUGGUGGAGCAGUCCGUGAGCCCCGGCGGCGGCGCUUGGCUGGGCGGGCAGCUCUUCUCGGCCAUGAUCGUACGGAAGCCGGCCCAUCUCUUCCUGGACGAGGUCGGCGUGCCGUACGACGAGCUCGAGCACUACGUGGUUGUCAAGCACGCCGCGCUCUUCACGUCCACGAUCAUGAGCAAGGUUUUGGCGAGGCCCAACGUGAAGCUCUUCAACGCGGUGGCGGCCGAGGAUUUGAUCAUCAAGGAGGACAAGGUUGCCGGGGUGGUGACGAAUUGGGCGCUCGUUUCCAUGAAUCACCACACCCAGAGCUGCAUGGAUCCGAAUGUGAUGGAGGCCAAGGUGGUGGUGAGCUCUUGCGGACAUGAUGGUCCCUUUGGAGCCGCUGGUGUCAAGAGGCUCAAGAGCAUCGGCAUGAUCGAUAGCGUCCCUGGGAUGAAGGCGCUGGACAUGAACACUGCCGAGGACGCGAUCGUGAGGCUCACUCGCGAGGUUGUUCCUGGGAUGAUCGUCACUGGCAUGGAAGUCGCGGAGAUCGAUGGGGCACCGAGGAUGGGGCCGACUUUUGGAGCGAUGAUGAUCUCUGGGCAGAAGGCAGCUCACUUGGCUCUCAAGUCACUGGGCAUGCCCAAUGCCAUCGAUGGAACUCUCAAGGCCGGCUAUCUCCCAGAGCUGGUGCUUGCAUCGGCCGAAGACGACGAGACCACCGCCACGGCGUGAUCACUCGCUCGAAAAAUCUCUGGUUUUACGAGUGGAGUGAAUCAUCUUCCGAGCGUGUGGUUCUCCAUGGGAUAAGGCUGCUACUUUCUGUUUUUUCAGGGUGCUUGCCCUGAAAAGAGUCUUUCUUCUGAAAGGGUAGGCUGAGAUGAGACCCUCACGACCUGAUCAGGAUAAUUCCUGCGAAGGGAGUGUGCCGACGCUGUAUUUUAUUUUCCUGUGCAGGUUUUAUGAUGAUCGCACAGAAUCAAGCUUGUGGACCGUAUCUCAGAUAUCCGACUUGAAGUGACUCUUAUCGAGGAUGAUAAUGGGAAAACCGAGCGCGUCCAACACUACCAUCUUCAAUGGUGUGAGCGACCCGGCAUUUCCUUCCCGAAUUUAUUUUGUGUUUGGACUUCGUAAAAACUUAGAGCUAAGAAUAUUGUUUACUUUAUUCUAUUUUAAAUUAGUAUUGGCAAGGUUUAAACACGACACGUUCUUUUUGGGA